GGCGGUAUUUUAAUCUUUUCAGAGGAACCUGUUCUAUAAUCGAUAAACCACGAUUUAUUUUACUUAUUUUAAUUAAUUUACAUAUCGUCGUAAUUUGAAUAUUUUAUAAGAAUAGUUAAUAUUCAAUAUUUUUUAUUAUAAUUAAAUUCAGAUCAAGAUGUAGUUUAUAAAUAAGAAGAAAUGGGUUACAUUAAAUAAAUUUAAAUAAUAAUUUAAUUUUAAAAAUUUAGUUAAAUUGGAUUUGAUAGUAAUUUUAAUUAAUUAAUUAAAAUGAUUUUAGCUCUAAAAUAUGUACAUAUCGCCCGUCGCUUUCUUUAUAAAAAGAAAUAAGUCGUAACAAAGUAGGUGUAUUGGAAAAUGUACCUAGAAAGUACAAAUUAAAGCUUAUUUUAAAGCAUUUUAUUUACAUUAAAAAGUUUAUUGUUAAAAUCAAUAUAAUUUGAAUAAAAUAAAUUAUUUAAUUUAAAAGUAUAUUUUAAAUUUAAAAUAAAUAAAUUAUAGUUUAAUUAUUUAGUUAAGAAAAAAUUAUUUUUAUAAUAGAUUAUUAGUAUUGUGGAAGAACUUUUGUUAAUAAUUAAAAGAAAAAUAUUUUUUGUACCUUGUGUAUCAGGGAUUAUUAAAAUUAUAUUUAAUUUUUAAAUAUUCUCGAAUUUAAAAGAGUUAAUAAGAUAUAAAAUUUUAUUGUAAAAUAAAUAUUUAUAAUAUUUUAUUAGAAAUGAAAUGUUAUUCGAUUUUAAAUAUAUCUAGUUUUUUAAGAAAAAAGUUUAAUUUUACUUAUUAAUUUAAAUAAUUAGUUUAAUUUUUAAUAUUAUUAUUAUUAAUAAGUUAUAUAUAAGGGGAUGAGCUUUUAUAUAUAUAAAUUAUAAAUUUAUAUUAAUAUAUUAUAAAUAAAUAGGAUUAAAAAUUUCCAUUUUUAGAAUAAUAUUAUAGUUAAUUUUUUAUUUUAUAUAAUUUAUAUAAAUUUUAAUUUUUUAUUAAAAUUUUAAUUUAAAUAAUUAAAAUUAAGUAAUAAUGAUAGUAUUAGUAUAUUAAAAUUGUUGGCUUUUAUUUGUAAUAAAGGUUAAAUUAAGGAAUUCGGCAAAUAUAUUUUUCACCUGUUUAUUAAAAACAUGUCUUUUUGAUAAUAAUUUAAAGUCUGACCUGCCCACUGAAUUAAUUAAAUGGCCGCGGUAUUUUGACCGUGCAAAGGUAGCAUAAUCAUUAGUUUUUUAAUUGAAAGCUGGAAUGAAGGGUUGAAUGAAAAAAUAACUGUCUCUUUUUAAUUAUAAUAGAAUUUUAUUUUUAAGUUAAAAAGCUUAAAUUUAAUUAGAAGACGAGAAGACCCUAUAGAGUUUAAUAAAUUAUUAAUUAUAAAAUCUUUAGUUUUUAA
rnacentral:rRNA from 1 species